rnacentral:lncRNA from 1 species
AAAAUACAAUUCGUUCUGAACUCAUCCUGAUCCAUCAAUUAUAUGAAGCGGAAGGUGGGAGACUCUUUUCUUUUUUAAAUCCGUCCCGAUUUGUAAAAAAAUUGUCAAAAAUUCGCUCUCGUCCCGAUCAGUCCCAAAUGAAGCGGUAAGCAAGAGCUAAAAAUAUAAUAAUAAAUAAUUCGCUCCGAAUCCGUCCUGUCCCAACAAAAAAUAAAGCGAGAGGUGGGAGAACCCUCUAGUCCCUGGAUCCGUUCCAUUUGCAUCCCUAAUCACCAUGCGCUUGGUAUACUUUUUAU